AGAAACCCCAGUCGCGAAGGAGAACUGACGAAGCCGCUGUACCCAGAGACCCCCCUCCCCACUGAUAGGUUCGGUUUCUUUUGAUUUUCUGGCCAACCAAGGCCUUUUAACGUAUUUUUUCGCAGGGUUAUGUGCCAAAAUGGUCAAAAUCGACCAAAACCGACCAUGUCGAGGUGAACCGCUACCGUCAGUGGUGGAGUUGGCACCGGAGCAUGACGGCGUCGUCG
rnacentral:lncRNA from 1 species